AUGUGCUUGCCUCACAAGACCUUCGCUGGCCUCUGCGAGUCGCGCAUUCCAUCUUCUUUCUCUUCUCUACUCUAUUGCUCCAAAUCUCCUUUCUACCCAAAGUCUCCUCCCCUUUUCAUAGCAUGGAUCUCUUGUCUUCAUCUUCUCCCUCACCGAUUUCACCUCGAGCAUAUGGAUUUUUCUCCUCCCCUCCACCAAUUUCAUCUCCAAUCGCUCUUUCCCAUGGAUUUCAUCCAUCCAGAUCAUGUGAUAUCAUGUCUCUUUGAUCAUGGCGGCGCAUAUCAUAAACCUAUUAUUGAUUGA
rnacentral:rRNA from 1 species